rnacentral:rRNA from 1 species
GAUCAUGUAAGAUUUUAAAGGUCGAACAGACCUAAAAUUAUAACUUCUACAUUAUAAUUUAAUCUUAAUCCAACAUCGAGGUCGCAAUCUUUAAUUUCGAUAAGAACUCUUAAAUAAAAUUACGCUGUUAUCCCUAAGGUAAUUUAAUCUUAUAAUCAAUAUUUAUUGGAUCAAUAAUUCAUUAAUUUAUGUUUAAAUAUAAUAAAAAGUUUAUUAAAUUUUUAUAUCACCCCAAUAAAAUAUAAAUUUAUUAAUAAAAUUAAUUAAUCCAAAUAUUUUAUUAUUAAAAUUAUAUAAAACUCUAUAGGGUCUUCUCGUCUUUCAAAUUAAUUUAAGCUUUUUAACUUAAAAAUAAAUUUCUAAUUAAAUUUAAUAGAGACAGUUAUUUUCUCAUCCAAUCAUUCACUCCAGCUUUUAAUUAAAAAACUAAUUAUUAUGCUACCUUUGCACAGUCAAGAUACUGCGGCCAUUUAAAUAUUUCAGUGGGCAGAUUAAACCUUAAAUUAUAAUCUUAAGGAC